rnacentral:rRNA from 1 species
UGGGGAAUUUUGGACAAUGGGCGAAAGCCUGAUCCAGCAAUGCCGCGUGUGUGAAGAAGGCCUUCGGGUUGUAAAGCACUUUUGUCCGGAAAGAAAUCCUUGGCUCUAAUACAGUCGGGGGAUGACGGUACCGGAAGAAUAAGCACCGGCUAACUACGUGCCAGCAGCCGCGGUAAUACGUAGGGUGCAAGCGUUAAUCGGAAUUACUGGGCGUAAAGCGUGCGCAGGCGGUUUGCUAAGACCGAUGUGAAAUCCCCGGGCUCAACCUGGGAACUGCAUUGGUGACUGGCAGGCUAGAGUAUGGCAGAGGGGGGUAGAAUUCCACGUGUAGCAGUGAAAUGCGUAGAGAUGUGGAGGAAUACCGAUGGCGAAGGCAGCCCCCUGGGCCAAUACUGACGCUCAUGCACGAAAGCGUGGGGAGCAAAACAGGAUUAGAUACCCUGGUAGUCCACGCCCUAAACGAUGUCAACUAGUUGUUGGGGAUUCAUUUCCUUAGUAACGUAGCUAACGCGUGAAGUUGACCGCCUGGGGAGUACGGUCGCAAGAUUAAAACUCAAAUGAAUUGACGGGGUCAUA